rnacentral:rRNA from 1 species
CUGGGCUUGACAUANGCCGGAUCGGCGCAGAGAUGCGUUUUCCCUUGUGGUCGGUAUACAGGUGGUGCAUGGUUGUCGUCAGCUCGUGUCGUGAGAUGUUGGGUUAAGUCCCGCAACGAGCGCAACCCUUGUCUUGUGUUGCCAGCACGUUAUGGUGGGGACUCGCGAGAGACUGCCGGGGUUAACUCGGAGGAAGGUGGGGAUGACGUCAAAUCAUCAUGCCCCUUAUGUCCAGGGCUUCACACAUGCUACAAUGGUCGGUACAGUGGGUUGCUACACCGUGAGGUGGNGCUAAUCCCUUAAAGCCGGUCUCAGUUCGGAUUGGAGUCUGCAACUCGACUCCAUGAAGUCGGAGUCGCUAGUAAUCGCAGUCAACAACGNCG